rnacentral:tRNA from 1 species
UCUCUGGUGGCUCAGAGGGUAAAGUGUCUGCCUGCAAUGCAGGAAACCCAGGUUCGAUUCCUGGAUAGGGAA